AUGGAGUCGUGUGUGGAACAGACGGUCGGAGUGGUGAGUUUAGAGCUGGAGGUUUUUGUACAGCCACUGAAUGAGUUUGUAUCACUGUGGUGGACUUUCGGUGGAGGAACUAAACUGGAAGUUGGACGUGAGACUCCUCCCACUCUUACAGUCCUGCCCCCGUCCAGUGCAGAGCUGGAGCAGGGGGAGGUCACACUGCUGUGUGUGGGCAGCGGGGGCUUCCCCUCAGACUGGAAGCUGAGCUGGAAGGUGGGCGGCAGCAGCAGGAGCUCGGGGGUCCGUCACAGCCCCGCUCUUCUGAAGAAGGACCACGGCCUCUACAGCUGGAGCAGCACCCUGACCCUCCAGCAGCAGCAGUGGAUGAAGAACACAGUGACCUGUGAGGCCACCAAGAACUCCCAGUCUGUAGCCAGUAAACCAGUGAGCGCAGACCAGUGCUCUCACCUGCUGUGAACACACACACACAGAUACACACACUCACACACUGAUACACACACUCUUCAUCACAAGAUAAU